UACGAAGGGUGCGAGCGUUGUUCGGAAUUACUGGGUGUAAAGGGUUUGUAGGCGGGAGAAUAAGUCAAAUGUGAAAACCUCGGGCUCAACCUGAGACGUGCAUUUGAUACUGUUUUUCUUGAGUAUCGGAGAGGCUAGUGGAAUUGCUGGUGUAGGAGUGACAUCCGUAGAGAUCAGCAGGAACAUCAGAGGCGAAGGCGACUGGCUGGCCGAUAACUGACGCUGAAAAACGAAAGCGUGGGGAGCAAACAGG
rnacentral:rRNA from 1 species